UCUUCCACUCAAAAGAACUGUGCUAAAAUUGCAGAGUCCAGGUUUUCCUGGUAUAUGUAAUGAUGCUAGCAGAGUACAAUGUGGAAGAAGAACAGCAGCCCUGCACCGGAAAUGAAACCGGGUCGGACCUCUUUCCUAAUGUCCUGUGACUUGUGUUUCAAGGUUCAGAGCAACAGUU